rnacentral:rRNA from 1 species
AGUGAACGCUGGCGGUAGGCCUAACACAUGCAAGUCGAACGGCAGCACAGUAAGAGCUUGCUCUUACGGGUGGCGAGUGGCGGACGGGUGAGGAAUACAUCGGAAUCUACUUUUUCGUGGGGGAUAACGUAGGGAAACUUACUCUAAUACCGCAUACGGCCUACGGGUGAAAGCAGGGGAUCUUCGGACCUUGCGCGAUUGAAUGAGCCGAUGUCGGAUUAGCUAGUUGGCGGGGUAAAGGCCCACCAAGGCGACGAUCCGUAGCUGGUCUGAGAGGAUGAUCAGCCACACUGGAACUGAGACACGGUCCAGACUCCUACGGGAGGCAGCAGUGGGGAAUAUUGGACAAUGGGCGCAAGCCUGAUCCAGCCAUACCGCGUGGGUGAAGAAGGCCUUCGGGUUGUAAAGCCCUUUUGUUGGGAAAGAAAAGCAGCAGGUUAAUACCCCGCUGUUCUGACGGUACCCAAAGAAUAAGCACCGGCUAACUUCGUG